GGCAAAUGCAGUUAGUUUUCAAUGUUGGUGGACCAGACAUGUAAUCUCAUCCGCAAAUGACUGAGGCUGUUGUAAAUGUCAGAGGUUACAACACCUUAUCGAUCAAACCUGUUUUUGCAUCACCAUGCAGGUAUGCAAAAAAUUUGCUGCAGCAACAACCACGGUGGCAUCUCUGCCAAGUUACAAGUUCCAUAUCAGAGUUCUGCUUCGUCGGGCCAUGACCCACCCCUCUUUUUCUGGUGAGA